rnacentral:snRNA from 1 species
GUGCUCCUCAGGCAGCACAUACACUAAAGCUGGAAUGAUACAGACUAGCAUGGCCCCUGCAUGAGAUGACACAUGAAGGAGACCAAGGGAAAAGGAAGUG